UCAGGAUGAACGCUAGCGGCAGGCUUAACACAUGCAAGUCGAGGGGCAGCGGGGAGGAAGCUUGCUUUCUCCGCCGGCGACCGGCGCACGGGUGAGUAACACGUAUGCAACCUGCCCCUGUCAGGGGGACAACCCGCCGAAAGGCGGGCUAAACCCGCGUACAUGCCACCGGGGCAUCCCGGAGGCAGGAAAGGCUUCGGCCGGACAGGGAUGGGCAUGCGGCGCAUUAGGCAGUAGGCGGGGUAACGGCCCACCUAACCGACGAUGCGUAGGGGUUCUGAGAGGAAGGUCCCCCACACUGGUACUGAGACACGGACCAGACUCCUACGGGAGGCAGCAGUGAGGAAUAUUGGUCAAUGGUCGGGAGACUGAACCAGCCAAGCCGCGUGAGGGAGGAAGGUACAGAGUAUCGUAAACCUCUUUUGUCAGGGAACAAAGACUGGGACGCGUCCCCGGAUGAGUGUACCUGAAGAAAAAGCAUCGGCUAACUCCGUGCCAGCAGCCGCGGUAAUACGGAGGAUGCGAGCGUUAUCCGGAUUUAUUGGGUUUAAAGGGUGCGCAGGCGGUCUGUUAAGUCAGCGGUCAAAGCCCGGGGCUCAACCCCGGCCCGCCGUUGAAACUGGCAGUCUCGAGUUGGAGAGAAGUAUGCGGAAUGCGCGGUGUAGCGGUGAAAUGCAUAGAUAUCGCGCAGAACUCCGAUUGCGAAGGCAGCAUGCCGGCUCCACACUGACGCUGAGGCACGAAAGCGUGGGUAUCGAACAGGAUUAGAUACCCUGGUAGUCCACGCAGUAAACGAUG
rnacentral:rRNA from 1 species